rnacentral:rRNA from 1 species
GGAAUCUUGGACAAUGGGGGCAACCCUGAUCCAGCCAUGCCGCGUGUGUGAAGAAGGCCUUCGGGUUGUAAAGCACUUUCAGUAGGGAGGAAGGCUUCGGGUUAAUACCCUGGAGUACUUGACGUUACCUACAGAAGACGCACCGGCUAAUUUCGUGCCAGCAGCCGCGGUAAUACGAAAGGUGCGAGCGUUAAUCGGAAUUACUGGGCGUAAAGCGCGCGUAGGCGGCUUGUUAAGUCGGAUGUGAAAGCCCCGGGCUCAACCUGGGAAUUGCAUCCGAUACUGGCUGGCUAGAAUGCAGUAGAGGGAGGUGGAAUUUCCGGUGUAGCGGUGAAAUGCGUAGAGAUCGGAAGGAACACCAGUGGCGAAGGCGGCCUCCUGGACUGACAUUGACGCUGAGGUGCGAAAGCGUGGGGAUCA